rnacentral:lncRNA from 1 species
AUUUUUUUAAAUAUAAUUUUAACUAGAAAUUCAUUUCUUAAUAAUAACAAAAACAAAAAUAACAUUUUUAGUGGAAAAAAGAAAAUUAAAUAGAAAUCUUUUUGAUGUAUUCAAGACUCAUCUUUAGCUAUCUAACUCAAAAGAAAAUAAACCAGAUAGUCUUUUCACAGUAGUAUUAAGCCGCUUCCAGGCAUUGGAGAUUGCUUCUGAUGCUUUCAUGUUGAUAACUUCCAUUUUUGUCCAAUGUUUAAUUUUCAGAACUCUGAUUAUAUAAUCUUCAUUGUGACGAUUGAUUUGCUAUAUAAUUUUGGCUUCAUAUCAACAAUGUUAAUAAGUUCUAAGACACACAAUGAUUGUGUCAUAGAUAUUGAACUUUUCAAAUCUAUUUUGUUGAGGAUCGUGGAUUUGCAGAUCGGAAGUAAAUGUGGAACUGAUAGUACAAAAAACACUUUUAUUAUAACACUUAUAAAAGAACAAAGGCUAGGAUAGAGACAAAUACAACCAGAUGACUCGACUGGAUACACCAC